CACAAAUCACUCAAAAAGAGAAAUCCCAUUCCCGUUUCCAAAAUGUUUGAUCCCUUUCUCAGCGGUUAAAUGACCCAGUCUCAGUGCAGUAAAUCGCACUUUCCGAGUCCAAAAAGAAGCAAAACACGAGAUAUUUUUUCGCAUGCAGUUAAUAAAAGCAAAUAAACUAAACUAAACUAAACUAAUCUAAACUAAACUAAACUAAACUAAACUAAAAGCUAAACUAAACUAAACUAAACUAAACUAAAAAUCAAAAUUGUAAGCAUAAUCACUGCAGGUAGGCCUAUAUACUAUCUAAACUAAAAACUAAAAGUGAUUUAAUUACCUCGCACUUGCAAUGUCGAUUCUUUUUGGCUAGACGAAACUUUAUCGUAACCUACAUGCGUAGUGUACAACACAUCAUUGUAAACUGAAAACAAAAAAUUGAUAUCUUAAUCUG
rnacentral:lncRNA from 1 species